rnacentral:rRNA from 1 species
GGGUUGUGAGGUUAAGCGACUAAGCGUACACGGUGGAUGCCCUGGCAGUCAGAGGCGAUGAAGGACGUGCUAAUCUGCGAAAAGCGUCGGUAAGGUGAUAUGAACCGUUAUAACCGGCGAUGUCCGAAUGGGGAAACCCAGUGCAAUUCGUUGCACUAUCGUUAACUGAAUACAUAGGUUAACGAGGCGAACCGGGGGAACUGAAACAUCUAAGUACCCCGAGGAAAAGAAAUCAACCGAGAUUCCCCCAGUAGCGGCGAGCGAACGGGGAGCAGCCCAGAGUCUGAAUCAGCUUGUGUGUUAGUGGAACGGUCUGGAAAGUCCGACGGUACAGGGUGAUAGUCCCGUACACCAAAAUGCACAGGCUGUGAACUCGAAGAGUAGGGCGGGACACGUGGUAUCCUGUCUGAAUAUGGGGGGACCAUCCUCCAAGGCUAAAUACUCCUGACUGACCGAUAGUGAACCAGUACCGUGAGGGAAAGGCGAAAAGAACCCCGGCGAGGGGAGUGAAAAAGAACCUGAAACCGUGUACGUACAAGCAGUGGGAGCACCUUCGGGUGUGACUGCGUACCUUUUGUAUAAUGGGUCAGCGACUUAUAUUCUGUAGCAAGGUUAACCGUAUAGGGGAGCCGCAGGGAAACCGAGUCUUAACUGGGCGUUAAGUUGCAGGGUAUAGACCCGAAACCCGGUGAUCUAGCCAUGGGCAGGUUGAAGGUUGGGUAACACUAACUGGAGGACCGAACCGACUAAUGUUGAAAAAUUAGCGGAUGACUUGUGGCUGGGGGUGAAAGGCCAAUCAAACCGGGAGAUAGCUGGUUCUCCCCGAAAGCUAUUUAGGUAGCGCCUCGUGAACUCAUCUUCGGGGGUAGAGCACUGUUUCGGCUAGGGGGUCAUCCCGACUUACCAACCCGAUGCAAACUACGAAUACCGAAGAAUGUUAUCACGGGAGACACACGGCGGGUGCUAACGUCCGUCGUGAAGAGGGAAACAACCCAGACCGCCAGCUAAGGUCCCAAAGUCAUGGUUAAGUGGGAAACGAUGUGGGAAGGCACAGACAGCCAGGAUGUUGGCUUAGAAGCAGCCAUCAUUUAAAGAAAGCGUAAUAGCUCACUGGUCGAGUCGGCCUGCGCGGAAGAUGUAACGGGGCUAAACCAUGCACCGAAGCUGCGGCAGCGACACUAUGUGUUGUUGGGUAGGGGAGCGUUCUGUAAGCCUGCGAAGGUGUGCUGUGAGGCAUGCUGGAGGUAUCAGAAGUGCGAAUGCUGACAUAAGUAACGAUAAAGCGGGUGAAAAGCCCGCUCGCCGGAAGACCAAGGGUUCCUGUCCAACGUUAAUCGGGGCAGGGUGAGUCGACCCCUAAGGCGAGGCCGAAAGGCGUAGUCGAUGGGAAACAGGUUAAUAUUCCUGUACUUGGUGUUACUGCGAAGGGGGGACGGAGAAGGCUAUGUUAGCCGGGCGACGGUUGUCCCGGUUUAAGCAUGUAGGCUGGUUGUCCAGGCAAAUCCGGAUAAUCAAGGCUGAGGUGUGAUGACGAGGCACUACGGUGCUGAAGUAACAAAUGCCCUGCUUCCAGGAAAAGCCUCUAAGCAUCAGGUAACAUUAAAUCGUACCCCAAACCGACACAGGUGGUCAGGUAGAGAAUACCAAGGCGCUUGAGAGAACUCGGGUGAAGGAACUAGGCAAAAUGGUGCCGUAACUUCGGGAGAAGGCACGCUGAUAUGUAGGUGAAGCCCCUGCGGGUGGAGCUGAAAUCAGUCGAAGAUACCAGCUGGCUGCAACUGUUUAUUAAAAACACAGCACUGUGCAAACACGAAAGUGGACGUAUACGGUGUGACGCCUGCCCGGUGCCGGAAGGUUAAUUGAUGGGGUUAUCCGUAAGGAGAAGCUCUUGAUCGAAGCCCCGGUAAACGGCGGCCGUAACUAUAACGGUCCUAAGGUAGCGAAAUUCCUUGUCGGGUAAGUUCCGACCUGCACGAAUGGCGUAAUGAUGGCCAGGCUGUCUCCACCCGAGACUCAGUGAAAUUGAACUCGCUGUGAAGAUGCAGUGUACCCGCGGCAAGACGGAAAGACCCCGUGAACCUUUACUAUAGCUUGACACUGAACAUUGAGCCUUGAUGUGUAGGAUAGGUGGGAGGCUUUGAAGCGUGGACGCCAGUCUGCGUGGAGCCAACCUUGAAAUACCACCCUUUAAUGUUUGAUGUUCUAACGUUGGCCCCUUACCGGGGUUGCGGACAGUGUCUGGUGGGUAGUUUGACUGGGGCGGUCUCCUCCCAAAGCGUAACGGAGGAGCACGAAGGUUAGCUAAUCCUGGUCGGACAUCAGGAGGUUAGUGCAAUGGCAUAAGCUAGCUUGACUGCGAGCGUGACGGCGCGAGCAGGUGCGAAAGCAGGUCAUAGUGAUCCGGUGGUUCUGAAUGGAAGGGCCAUCGCUCAACGGAUAAAAGGUACUCCGGGGAUAACAGGCUGAUACCGCCCAAGAGUUCAUAUCGACGGCGGUGUUUGGCACCUCGAUGUCGGCUCAUCACAUCCUGGGGCUGAAGUAGGUCCCAAGGGUAUGGCUGUUCGCCAUUUAAAGUGGUACGCGAGCUGGGUUUAGAACGUCGUGAGACAGUUCGGUCCCUAUCUGCCGUGGGCGCUGGAGAAUUGAGGGGGGCUGCUCCUAGUACGAGAGGACCGGAGUGGACGCAUCACUGGUGUUCGGGUUGUCAUGCCAAUGGCACUGCCCGGUAGCUAAAUUCGGAAGAGAUAAGUGCUGAAAGCAUCUAAGCACGAAACUUGCCCCGAGAUGAGUUCUCCCUGAGACUUUAAGUCUCCUGAAGGAACGUUGAAGACGACGACGUUGAUAGGCCGGGUGUGUAAGCGCAGCGAUGCGUUGAGCUAACCGGUACUAAUGAACCGUGAGGCUUAACCUUACAACGCCGAAG